CCUUGGUGAUGACACCUGCACAUGUCUAACGCCACGUGUCAAUGCCAGACCUGAAAAGGACAAACCCUCUGGUGUUGCCGUGGCAACAAGGGGACAAAUUGUUGCGGUUGCAACUGUCUGAAUGGA